rnacentral:rRNA from 1 species
GAUGAACGCUGGCGGCGUGCCUAAUACAUGCAAGUCGAGCGAACAGAUAAGGAGCUUGCUCCUUUGACGUUAGCGGCGGACGGGUGAGUAACACGUGGGUAACCUACCUAUAAGACUGGAAUAACUCCGGGAAACCGGGGCUAAUGCCGGAUAACAUUUAGAACCGCAUGGUUCUAAAGUGAAAGAUGGUUUUACUAUCACUUAUAGAUGGACCCGCGCCGUAUUAGCUAGUUGGUAAGGUAACGGCUUACCAAGGCAACGAUACGUAGCCGACCUGAGAGGGUGAUCGGCCACACUGGAACUGAGACACGGUCCAGACUCCUACGGGAGGCAGCAGUAGGGAAUCUUACGCAAUGGGGGAAAGCCGGACGGAGCAACGCCGCGUGAGUGAUGAAGGUCUUCGGAUCGUAAAACUCUGUUAUUAGGGAAGAACAAAUGUGUAAGUAACUGUGCACGUCUUGACGGUACCGAAUCAGAAAGCCACGGCUAACUACGUG